rnacentral:rRNA from 1 species
GACGAACGCUGGCGGCGUGCUUAACACAUGCAAGUCGAACGGUAAGGCCCUUCGGGGUACACGAGUGGCGAACGGGUGAGUAACACGUGGGUGAUCUGCCCUGCACUUCGGGAUAAGCCUGGGAAACUGGGUCUAAUACCGGAUAGGACUCCGGACUGCAUGGUCUGGGGUGGAAAGCUUUUGCGGUGUGGGAUGGGCCCGCGGCCUAUCAGCUUGUGGGUGGGGUGAUGGCCUACCAAGGCGACGACGGGUAGCCGGCCUGAGCGGGUGACCGGCCACACUGGGGCUGAGAUACGGCCCAGACUCCUACGGGAGGCAGCAGUGGGGAAUAUUGCACAAUGGGCGCAAGCCUGAUGCAGCGACGCCGUGUGAGGGAUGACGGCCUUCGGGUUGUAAACCUCUUUCAGCAUCGACGAAGCGAAAGUGACGGUAGGUGCAGAAGAAGGACCGGCCAACUACGUGCCAGCAGCCGCGGUAA